rnacentral:tRNA from 1 species
GGGCCGGUCGUCUAGCAUGGUUAGGACGUCAGGUCAAUCCCGCCAAGCCCUUACACGGCGAAGGUCGGCGGUCCGAAUCCGCCCCGGCCCA